UCACUAGACACACCCAUGCACACAUGC
rnacentral:piRNA from 1 species